AUUGAGGCCCCGUAAUUGGAAUGAGUACACUUUAAAUCCUUUAACGAGGAUCAAUUGGAGGGCAAGUCUGGUGCCAGCAGCCGCGGUAAUUCCAGCUCCAAUAGCGUAUAUUAAAGUUGUUGCAGUUAAAAAGCUCGUAGUUGGAUCUCAGGAUUUGGAUGGAUGGUUCGCUUUCGGGCGCUACUAUCUGUCUGACCUACUCUAGUCGUGGAUGCCUUGGGUGCUCUUAAUUGAGUGCUUUUGGUGCCCGACGCAAUUACUUUGAAAAAAUUAGAGUGCUCAAAGCAGGCGUAUUGCCUGAAUAGUGUUGCAUGGAAUAAUGAAAUAGGAGUUUACUUCUAUUUUGUUGGUUUUCGGAGGUGAACUAAUGAUUAACAGGGACAGACGGGGGCAUUUGUAUGGAGGGGUUAGAGGUGAAAUUCUUGGAUCCUCUCCAGACAAACUACUGCGAAAGCAUUUGCCAGGAAUGUUUUCACUAAUCAAGAACGAAAGUCAGAGGUUCGAAGACGAUCAGAUACCGUCCUAGUUCUGACCAUAAAUGAUGCCAUCUAACAAUCCACGAAGUUUGCUUGUACGAACUCGUGGGCGGUCCCCGGGAAACCAAAGAUUUUGGGUUCCGGGGGGAGUAUGGUUGCAAAGCUGAAACUUAAAGGAAUUGACGGAAGGGCACACCAGGAGUGGAGCCUGCGGCUUAAUUUGACCCAACACGGGAAACCUCACCCGGCCCGGACACUUUUAGGAUUGACAGAUUGAAGGCUCUUUCUUGAUCAAGUGGUUGGUGGUGCAUGGCCGUUCUUAGUUGGUGGAGCGAUUUGUCUGGUUAAUUCCGAUAACGAACGAGACUCUACUCUGCUAAAUAGAACGUUGAUAUAUAAAAGUCAGUGCUGACUUCUUAGAGAGACUAACGGCGUUUAGCCGUGUGAGAAAGAGCAAUAACAGGUCUGUGAUGCCCUUAGAUGUCCGGGGCCGCACGCGCGCUACACUGACUGCAGCAACUAGUAUGCUCCUGGUUUGAAAAAACUGGGUAACCUGGUUGAAUUGCAGGCGUGACAGGGAUCAGAGUUUGCAAUUAUCCUCUGUGAACGAGGAAUUCCCAGUAAGCGCAAGUCAUUAGCUUGUGCUGAUUACGUCCCUGCCCUUUGUACACACCGCCCGUCGCUACUACCGAUUGAAUGGUUUAGUGAGGUCUUCGGAUUGGUGCUGAUGGAGUGGUUCUCUGCUCUGUUAGUGCCGAGAAGAUGAUCAAACUUGAUCAUUUAGAGGAAGUAAAAGUCGUAACAAGGU
rnacentral:rRNA from 1 species